rnacentral:rRNA from 1 species
AUUGAACGCUGGCGGCAGGCUUAACACAUGCAAGUCGAACGAGCGGCGGACGGGUGAGUAAUGUCUGGGAAACUGCCUGAUGGAGGGGGAUAACUACUGGAAACGGUAGCUAAUACCGCAUACCAUCAGAUGUGCCCAGAUGGGAUUCGCUAGUAGGUGGGGUAAUGGCUCACCUAGGCGACGAUCCCUAGCUGGUCUGAGAGGAUGACCAGCCAACCUGUAACUGCGACACGGUCCCGACUCCUUCGGGAGGCAUCAGUGGGGAAGAUUGCACAAUUGGCGCAAGCCUGAUGCAGCCAUGCCGCGUGUGUGAAGAAGGCCUUCGGGUUGUAAAGUACUUUCAGCGAGGAGGCGUUACUCGCAGAAGAAGCACCGGCUAACUCCGUGCCAGCAGCAGCGGUAAUAC